CAUUCUUUUUUUCUUGUUCUAGCAGGAAUAUGGUUGGAAAGAGAAAUCAGCCGAUGACGAAACACGAAAAUAUUCGGAUAAACUACGAGACGUAUGUGCACUUGCCGAACGACUCGGCUGUUCCUUUGGACAAUUGGCUAUUGCAUGGUCUUUAAAAAAUGAAAGUGUUCAGUGCCUUCUUCUCGGUGCAUCAAAUAUUGAUCAAUUAUACGAGAGUCUUCAAAGUUUACAGCUAAUUCCAAAAUUAAAUGCUAAUAUAAUGAACGAAAUUGAAAGAAUUCUCGAUAAUAAACCAUCACGACCUCCGAUGAUUUCAACAUUGGCACUCAGAUGACAAUCAAUUUGCCCCCACGGAAGUGGUGGGGGCUCUUUAGAGGAUGGAGGUAGCCCAAAAAGCGAAGGUGCUAAUAGUCAAGAUCAAGAACAGACUAAAGAACUAACCGGCAAACUACCAUUUUGCGAAAUACAAUGAAACAAUGUUAGAUAUAUUUACGUAUAUUUAGAUAUAGUUUGAUCUUGAUCGAAUGAAAUUGGAUCGAUUAAAAUUGGAUUGAAGAUGACAAAAUUGUGCCAAGAGAGGUCACAUAAAUUUAAAUGAAAAAAAGAGAAAUAUUAAUUAUUAGUGCACGUUGUCCCAUACUCAACGUGUUAAGCGCGAAUACAUGUACAUAUUAUGUACUUAUAUCCACAUAAAAAUGAAUCAACGACAAUACUUAUA